UACGUAGGGUGCGAGCGUUGCCCGGAAUUAUUGGGCGUAAAGGGCUCGUAGGCGGUUUGUCGCGUCGGGAGUGAAAACCUCGGGCUUAACUCGGGGCUUGCUUUCGAUACGGGCAGACUGGAGGUAUGCAGGGGAGAACGGAAUUCCUGGUGUAGCGGUGAAAUGCGCAGAUAUCAGGAGGAACACCGGUGGCGAAGGCGGUUCUCUGGGCAUGACCUGACGCUGAGGAGCGAAAGUGUGGGGAGCGAACAGG
rnacentral:rRNA from 1 species